rnacentral:ncRNA from 1 species
ACAAACCCAUGGGGGAGCUGGAUAAUGGCCGGCUGAGAGUGUGUGCCGACACACAGACCCUUUCACCUGAUCCGGGUAAUGCCGGCGUAGGGAUUUGGAUGGUGAUGGAC